CGGACGGGUGAGGAAUACAUCGGAAUCUGCCUUGUUGUGGGGAUAACGUAGGGAAACUUACGCUAAUACCGCAUAAGACCUUAGGGUGAAAGCGGAGGACCUUCGGGCUUCGCGCGACAAGAUGAGCCGAUGUCGGAUUAGCUAGUUGGCGGGGUAAAGGCCCACCAAGGCGACGAUCCGUAGCUGGUCUGAGAGGAUGAUCAGCCACACUGGAACUGAGACACGGUCCAG
rnacentral:rRNA from 1 species